ACUUAACGAUAAAGCACACCUCCUCCCAAGCUCUAUCGUCGGAUCGGCAACCCUCCUCCUCCUCCCGGUUGCCGGUCAGUAUCGAAAGCCCGGCGUACCUCCUCCCACGCCGGGCUUUCUCU
rnacentral:sRNA from 1 species